UACGGAGGGGGCGAGCGUUAUUCGGAAUUAUUGGGCGUAAAGAGCUCGUAGGCGGUCUGUUGCGUCGGCUGUGAAAACCCGGGGCUCAACUCCGGGCCUGCAGCCGAUACGGGCAGACUAGAGUUCGGCAGGGGAGACUGGAAUUCCUGGUGUAGCGGUGAAAUGCGCAGAUAUCAGGAGGAACACCGGUGGCGAAGGCGGGUCUCUGGGCCGAUACUGACGCUGAGGAGCGAAAGCGUGGGGAGCGAACAGG
rnacentral:rRNA from 1 species